rnacentral:lncRNA from 1 species
CAGAGACAAAAUAUUGACUAAAACAACCAGUUUGUAGCUUUUAAAGUGUUAUAUGUGGUUGGAAAGAAUGUAUUUCUGUUUGUUGGGUAUAGUGCUUUGUCAAUUCAAGUUGAUUAAUCUUGUUAAAUUAUUGUAGCCUUAAAAAUUUUUUUUUCAAGGUUUGGCAUACUGGUUCUAUUGAUUACUGAGAUAGAUGUGUUAAUACAGGCUGAGUAUCUUACCUAAAAUGCUUGGAACCAGAAAUGUUUUGAGUUGCCCUCCCUCCACCCUGAUAGUGGAGAUUUGCAUAUUUAUAUCUCCCAAGUUCAAACAUGAAAUUACCCAUAACCACAUAGACUGAAGGUGAUUUCAUGCAAUGUUUAUAAUAAUUUUUGCUUGAAACAGUUUUACGGUAUGGAAUUCUCCACGUUGGCAUCAUGUCAG